CAAAAGCCCAAAAGGAAGCCACGGCUAACUCUGUGCCAGCAGCCGCGGUAAUACAGAGGUGGCAAGCGUUGUUCGGUAUUAUUGGGCGUAAAGAGCACGUAGGUGGUUCUGUAAGUCAGAUGUGAAAGCCUUCUGUUCAAAGGAAGAACGGCAUCUGAAACUGCAGAUCUUGAGUGUAGGAGGGGAGAGUGGAACUUCUGGUGGAGCGGUGAAAUGCGUAGAUAUCAGAAGGAACGUCGGCGGCGAAAGCGACUCUCUGGCCUAUUACUGACACUGAGUGUGCGAAAGUUAGGGGGGCAAACGGGAUUAGAUACCCCGGUACUCCUAACCGUAAA
rnacentral:rRNA from 1 species